GAUGAACGCUGGCGGCGUGCCUAAUACAUGCAAGUCGAGCGAAUGGAUUAAGAGCUUGCUCUUAUGAAGUUAGCGGCGGACGGGUGAGUAACACGUGGGUAACCUGCCCAUAAGACUGGGAUAACUCCGGGAAUCCGGGGCUAAUACCGGAUAACAUUUUGAACCGCAUGGUUCGAAAUUGAAAGGCGGCUUCGGCUGUCACUAAUGGAUGGACCCGCGUCGCAUUAGCUAGUUGGUGAGGUAACGGCUCACCAAGGCAACGAUGCGUAGCCGACCUGAGAGGGUGAUCGGCCACACUGGGACUGAGACACGGCCCAGACUCCUACGGGAGGCAGCAGUAGGAAAUCUUCCGCAAUGGACGAAAGUCUGACGGGGCAACGCCGCGUGAGUGAUGAAGGCUUUCGGGUCGUAAAACUCUGUUGUUAGGGAAGAACAAGUGCUAGUUGAAUAAGCUGGCACCUUGACGGUACCUAACCAGAAAGCCACGGCUAACUACGUGCCAGCCGCCGCAGUAA
rnacentral:rRNA from 1 species